ACAUCUAGAUUGCGGAUCCGCGGCCGCAGAGUUUGAUCCUGGCUCAGUAUGAACGCUGGCGGCGUGCUUAACACAUGCAAGUCGAACGAGAAAGGGAGUGCUUGCAUUCCCGAGUAGAGUGGCGCACGGGUGAGUAACACGUGGAUAAUCUACCUUUGAAUCCGGGAUAACUGUUCGAAAGAAUCGCUAAUACCGAAUGAAGUCAAUGUUUCCUAGGAAAUAUUGAUGAAAGACAGCCUCUUCUUGAAAGCUGUUGUUUGAAGAUGAGUCCGCGCACCAUUAGCUUGUUGGUGGGGUAAAGGCCUACCAAGGCUCUGAUGGUUAGCUGGUCUGAGAGGAUGAUCAGCCACACUGGAACUGACACACGGUCCAGACUCCUACGGGAGGCAGCAGUGAGGAAUUUUGCGCAAUGGGGGCAACCCUGACGCAGCAACGCCGCGUGAGUGAAGAAGGCCCUUGGGUCGUAAAGCUCUGUCAAUGGGGAAGAAGUUAUUAUACUUUAAUAGAGUAUAGUAUUGACGGUACCCAUGAAAGAAGCACCGGCUAACUCCGUGCCAGCAGCCGCGGUAAUACGGGGGUGCAAGCGUUAUUCGGAAUUAUUGGGCGUAAAGGGCACGCAGCGGUCCAACAGGUCAGAUGUGUAAGCCCUGGCU
rnacentral:rRNA from 1 species